GAUGAACGCUGGCGGCGUGCCUAAUACAUGCAAGUCGAGCGAACUGAUGAGGAGCUUGCUCCUCUGACGUUAGCGGCGGACGGGUGAGUAACACGUGGAUAACCUACCUAUAAGACUGGGAUAACUUCGGGAAACCGGAGCUAAUACCGGAUAAUAUAUUGAACCGCAUGGUUCAAUAGUGAAAGACGGUUUUGCUGUCACUUAUAGAUGGAUCCGCGCCGCAUUAGCUAGUUGGUAAGGUAACGGCUUACCAAGGCAACGAUGCGUAGCCGACCUGAGAGGGUGGUCGGCCACACUGGAACUGAGACACGGUCCAGACUCCUACGGGAGGCAGCAGUAGGGAAUCUUCCGCAAUGGGCGAAAGCCUGACGGAGAAACGCCGCGGGAGUGAUGAAGGUCGUCGGAUCGUAAAACUCUGUUAUUAGGGAAGAACAAAUGUGUAAGUAACUAGGCACGUCUUGACGGUACCUAAUCAGAAAGCCACGGCUAACUACGUGC
rnacentral:rRNA from 1 species